UUGGUUUUGUAGCUCUGCUUGUGGUGCUGAUGCCUUGGAAUGGGAUUAGAGGAGAGGAAACAUCAGAUUAACUUGUUGAAUGGAUCCUCAUAAGCGUGUCAUGGAUAUAAGGAGAGUGAAACACAAAUGAGAUGAAAGCUUUGACUACAGCUAAAUGACUGCUGUCAACCAUCUUUCAGCUCCAACAAUUAGGCUGAACAAAUGAUGCAAA